GACCGCGUAGCUCAGUUGGCAGAGCAUUGGGCUAGUAUUUCAAAGGUCGUUGGUUUGAUUCCCACCGUGGCCA